rnacentral:rRNA from 1 species
GAUGAACGCCGGCGGCGUGCUUAACACAUGCAAGUCGAGCGAAGCGCCUUACUUGAUUUCUUCGGGAUGAAAGUAUUGUGACUGAGCGGGCGUACGGGUGAAGGUAACGCGUAGUAGGAACCUGCCUCAAAGAGGGGGACAACAGUUGGAAGCGACUGCUAAUACCGCAUAAGCCCACAGGUCGGCAUCGACCAGAGGGAAAAGGAGCAAUCCGCUUUGAGAUGGCCUCGCGUCCGAUUAGCUGGUUGGUGAGGUAACGGCCCACCAAGGCAACGAUCGGUAGCCGGACUGAGAGGUUGAACGGCCACAUUGGGACUGAGACACGGCCCAG